AAAAGCUUGUAAGGGCAAAUGGUGGAUGCCUUGGGUGAUAGAGGCGAUGAAGGACGUACUAGACUGCGAUAAGCUACGGGGAGCUGUCAAGAAGCUUUGAUCCGUAGAUUUCCGAAUGGGGCAACCCAAUACCUAGAGAUAGGUAUUACCUUUAAUGGAGCGAACCUAGCGAAGUGAAACAUCUCAGUAGCUAGAGGAAAAGAAAUCAAACGAGAUUCUCCUAGUAGCGGCGAGCGAACGGGGAAGAGGGCAAACCAGUAGCUUGCUACUGGGGUUGAGGACUGCAAUAUCCACUGCAAUCUUUUAGCAGAAUAUUCUGGAAAGAAUAAUCAUAGAGGGUGAUAGUCCCGUAUGUGAAAAGAGAUUGCUAGGUAGCAGUAUCCAGAGUAGGUCAGGACACGUGAAAUCCGGGCUGAAGCAGGGGAGACCACUCUCCAACCCUAAAUACUACUAUCACACCGAUAGCGCACAAGUACCGUGAGGGAAAGGUGAAAAGAACCGCAGUGAGCGGAGUGAAAUAGAACCUGAAACCAUUUGCCUACAAUCAUUCAGAGCCCUAUUGUGAGUCCCUUUGAGGAAUUAGCUAGGCUUGUCUCUUGGGUGAUUUUAAAGGAGCGAGAACAUUGCUUCAUUGCGGCGUAUGUCUAUAUACGCCUCAUUUGCAAUGACCUCACAACCUUUAAACUCACCUCAAGAUACUUCGCCAUUUGCUUUGUUCUUUAUGAUUUCAUAAUUUUAAAGUUUUAAAAUAAAGUGUGGAAUCUUAAAAAAAGAACUCCAAAAAAUUCUAGUAUUAUGCGUAAGAUUUGCGGUAAGAUUUAUGAGUUUUGUAGAAAAAACUGCGGAGACUAGCCUUAUGGCUAUCGCACAAGAUUUUUUCAAACUCCCGCAAAGAUUGUGUAUAAGCUAAAUUUAGCCUGAUUUUUCAAAGGGAUUCACAAGGGUGAUGGACUGCCUUUUGCAUAAUGAUCCUGCGAGUUGUGGUAUCUGGCAAGGUUAAGCAAACGCGAAGCCGUAGCGAAAGCGAGUCUGAAAGGGCGUUUAGUCAGAUGCUGCAGACCCGAAGCCAAGUGAUCUAUCCAUGGCCAAGUUGAAGUAAGUGUAAUAGCUUAUGGAGGACUGAACUCGUACCCAUUGAAACGGGUUGGGAUGAGCUGUGGAUAGGGGUGAAAGGCCAAACAAACUUGGUGAUAGCUGGUUCUCUUCGAAAUAUAUUUAGGUAUAGCCUCAAGUGAUAGUAAUAGGGGGUAGAGCUCUGAUUGGGCUAGGGCUGCUCACCGCGGUACCAACCCCUGUCAAACUACGAAUACCUAUUACCGUAUCUUGGGAGUCAGGCGGUGGGUGAUAAAAUCAAUCGUCAAGAGGGAAACAACCCAGACUACCAACUAAGGUCCCAAAGUUCUAUUCUAAGUGGAAAAUGAUGUGAAGUUACUUAGACAACCAGGAGGUUGGCUUAGAAGCAGCCAUCCUUUAAAGAAAGCGUAACAGCUCACUGGUCUAGUGAUUUUGCGCAGAAAAUAUAACGGGGCUAAGAUAGACACCGAAGUUGUAGAUUGUGCUGAUGCACAGUGGUAGAAGAGCGUUCGUAUCAGCGUUGAAGGCAUACCGGUAAGGAGUGCUGGAGCGAUGCGAAGUGAGCAUGCAGGAAUGAGUAGCGAUAAAAGUGGUGAGAAUCCACUUCGCCGAAAAUCUAAGGUUUCCUACGCGAUGCUCGUCAUCGUAGGGUUAGUCGGGUCCUAAGAUAAGUCCGAAAGGGGUAGUCGAUGGAAAAUGGGUUAAUAUUCCCAUACCAACAUAAGUGUGCGAUGGGGGACGCAUAGGGCUAAAUGGCGUUAGCUGAUGGAAGUGCUAACUUAAGAGCGUAGAUUGGGGGAUUGGCAAAUCCGCCUCUGUAUUCGAAACUCAAAUAGCUUCAAGCGGUCUUCGGACCAAUUGGAGUGCCAUUGAUGCCGUCGUGCCAAGAAAAGCCUCUAAGUUUAGCUUAUGUUGCCCGUACCGCAAACCGACACAGGUAGAUGAGAUGAGUAUUCUAAGGCGCGUGAAAGAACUCUCUUUAAGGAACUCUGCAAACUAGCACCGUAAGUUCGCGAUAAGGUGUGCCACAGCAAUGUGGUCUCAGCAAAGAGUCCCUCCCGACUGUUUACCAAAAACACAGCACUUUGCAAACUCGUAAGAGGAAGUAUAAGGUGUGACGCCUGCCCGGUGCUCGAAGGUUAAGAGGAUUAGUUAGCAGCAAUGCGAAGCUUUGAAUUGAAGCCCGAGUAAACGGCGGCCGUAACUAUAACGGUCCUAAGGUAGCGAAAUUCCUUGUCGGUUAAAUACCGACCUGCAUGAAUGGCGUAACGAGAUGGGAGCUGUCUCAAAGAGUGAUUCAGUGAAAUUGUAGUGGAGGUGAAAAUUCCUCCUACCCGCGGCAAGACGGAAAGACCCCGUGGACCUUUACUACAGCUUGGCACUGCCGAUGGGAGCAUUAUGCGCAGGAUAGGUGGGAGGCUUUGAAAUCUUUACUCUGGUAGAGAUGGAGCCAUCCUUGAGAUACCACCCUUAAUGUUUCUGUCUGCUAACUAGCUUGAGUUAUCCUCAAGUAGGACAAUGCCUGGUGGGUAGUUUGACUGGGGCGGUCGCCUCCUAAAAAGUAACGGAGGCUUACAAAGGUUGGCUCAUUGCGGUUGGAAAUCGCAAGUAGAGUGUAAUGGCAUAAGCCAGCCUGACUGCAAGACAAACAAGUCAAGCAGAGACGAAAGUCGGUCAUAGUGAUCCGGUGAUUCUGUGUGGAAGGGUCAUCGCUCAAAGGAUAAAAGGUACCCCGGGGAUAACAGGCUGAUCUCCCCCAAGAGCUCACAUCGACGGGGAGGUUUGGCACCUCGAUGUCGGCUCAUCGCAUCCUGGGGCUGGAGCAGGUCCCAAGGGUAUGGCUGUUCGCCAUUUAAAGCGGUACGCGAGCUGGGUUCAGAACGUCGUGAGACAGUUCGGUCCCUAUCUGCCGUGGGCGUAGGAAAGUUGAGGAGAGCUGUCCCUAGUACGAGAGGACCGGGAUGGACACGCCACUGGUGUAUCAGUUGUUCUGCCAAGAGCAUCGCUGAGUAGCUAAGCGUGGAUGUGAUAACCGCUGAAAGCAUCUAAGCGGGAAGCCAACUCCAAGAUGAACUUUCCCUGAAGGUCGCAGCAAGACUAGCUGCUUGAUAGGGUAGAUGUGUAAGCAUAGUAAUGUGUUUAGCUGACUACUACUAAUAGACCGUUUGGCUUUUUUUC
rnacentral:rRNA from 1 species